GCUGCGGUGUCCGAGUGGUUAAGGAGAUGGACUUGAAAUCCAUUGGGCUCUGCCCGCACAGGUUCGAAUCCUGUCCACAGCG
rnacentral:tRNA from 1 species